UUUUUUUUGUUGCCUGGUUUUCAAAUCGUCAAUGGCAGGAAUGGCAUGGAGGAACUUACAGUAUUGUUAGACUGAGGAUCCUUUCAGCACUAACUGCAGUCCUGCAUCACUGCAGCUCUUGUGCUGAGUGCAGUUUUGAUGGGUGGAGGAAAUGUCAGAGAAGGUGCCUUCAGAGCAAACACUGCACCCUGUGUCUCUCUCGGCUGUACCUGCAACUGUGGGGCGCGUCUUCAUCAUAAGCAGUUCUGGAACUGGUCGACUGCUGGCUGAAUAAAAGUCCAGUCCUGUGAUCCACUCGACAUCUCUGACCCUUGACUGGUGAAACCAGAUGUGAUCUUCCAC